GUGCUUGUAGCUCAGUUCGGAAGAGCGAUUGACUUCGAAUCAAUAGGUCAUGGGAUCGAAACCCUUCAGGCACA
rfam:Dictyostelium discoideum AX4 chromosome 3, whole genome shotgun sequence.